GGACAGAUGCCAGAGUGGUCGAUCGGGCACGCCUGGAAAGCGUGUGAACGGUAAAACGUUCCGAGGGUUCGAAUCCCUCUCUGUCCGCCA
rnacentral:tRNA from 1 species